ACACACAUAAGUGUGUUUCUGGUCGACAUUUUCACCAGACAAGAAAAGAUUCUUCUCUUGAACCCUAAAUUACAAAGAAAUGCUCAAAUCGAAGGGGAAAUCAAGCUAAAAAUUGGGGAUUUUAUUAAAUUCGUGAUCACCAAGUCAUGAGGAUCACAAGUUUGACUCUUGACGAGCUAGGUGAAGCUUGGAGGAGAUGAUCAAACGGGAUAAAGACACAAGUAAGAUUUGCUUGGAUGAAAGGUAAGUAAAGCUUACACCUAUUUUUUUAGCAUACGUAUUUAUUCUAUAGGUGAUAAAUACAACAAUAGAUCAUGUUCGAAUUAUGGGUUCCGACACGAAACGAAAUGGGUUGGAACGAAUAAAAAUGUUUAAAAUCAUGAUUAAUGGUGAAAGAGGUAAAAUGGUAAUUUAGUCAUAAAUCGACUAAGAAUUUAUGAGUUUUCUUAAAGUUACCUCAUAGCUUAACUAAUAAUGGAAAAAGGGGUAAAAUGGUAAUUUAGUCACGUGAUGACUUAUUGUAAUCGAGAUUAAAAGGAUAUCCACGGCGUAAGCCGAACUGGGUCAAAUAUGUAAGAAAAAAAGGAAAUUUUUGUGGUAAAAUCCGUAAUGGGUCGGAUGCGUGAUUGAGUAAUUAGAAACCAUGAUUUGUAAUAAAUAUAAUUGUUUGGUCGUAUAGACCAAAUGGGUCAAAUGAUGGUGAUAACAUCAUAUGACCAUAUCGACUAAUGUUGGUUGUUAAGUCAUAUGUUUACAGGAACGAAUAGCAAUUUGGAUAAUUGUGUCGUCAUAGAAUAUUGAAUUAAUAAUAGCAAGGGAUAAACGGGUCUAUACGUUGACUCGAGCCAGAAAAUGCAGGUUCAGAUAUAAACAUGCUGGAAACUGGUCUCCCCCGCGGCACGCGAAGGGGAAAUAAGGUCCGGGCGCGACACGCGAUAGGCGUCGCGGCACACGACACAUCUACUUGAGUCUCUUGCGACCCGCGAGAGACAUAAAGGCUGGAAAAAUUAUUUUUGGUUAAUUGCUUGUUGCGUAGAACUUGUUUAAACUUAUAUUUAAGUUAUCAAAACUACCUUUUAGGUUGGUUUUGAUCAUAGGUGAAUAUCGAAAGUACCCGGAUGAAGAUCAAGCGAUGAGAAAGAACCGAACACAUGAAGAAGAAGCUUCCACACGUUGUUUCGUCGAAAUUUUUUAAACGACAAACUAAACUACAUUAUGUUGUUCUAAAUUUUAAAUUGUAAAAGUUUUAAUAAACCCGUGCUUUGUAAUGUAUAUGUGCUCUUAAUCACAUGUUUAUUAUCGUAAAUUAUACGAAAAUCGUUAAAUAAUAUUAAGGGUGUUACAAGUUGGUAAUCAGAGCUCAUGGUUAAAGAGUAAAGUGUGUUCGGUUCGAAGCUUGAUCGCAAAUCCGGUAAGUACAUUUAUGUUAAUGGUUUAGUAUGAUUAAAGUGUUGCGAACAACACAUAGGGUUAUCGUGUAAUACUGGUUACCCCAAUGAAAAUGAUGGUAUAGUUAACGAAAUCACGUGCAUUGACACGUAUAGUAAAAAGCCUUGUAUAACAAUACGGGUGUUUAUUAAUGUCGAAAUUACUAACUCUUGUAAAUAUUUAGUUGAAGGAUACUCGCAUCUGAAGAUGGCGAGAGUGUAACAAGUGACGGACAUGACAGAGGAACGGUCCGAAGUACGACAAGUAGAGUAUGCUCAUCAAGGACCUAAAUCGCGUGAUGACCGCGAACAAGGUUAAUGACAUGGAAAGCCCAUUAGGGCAAGCAUUACUAGGCGCACACUUUUAAAUUAAAUCGCACAAAUAGUAAUAUGCAACAAACAUGUAGAGAAUGACGGUUGCAUACGUAGGAUAAAACUUGGGAAACCUGAAUAGGAUAUCUAUUCAGGAUGAUGUUUCUAAGUGAAAACAAAUAGAAACAUGUGUUAUUCACCAUUGUGAAUAACAAGACAAUAAUAGAAAUAGUUUAUGUGAAAACUUGGACGGGAAUAAAUAUCCAAGUGAAUUAUUCU